rnacentral:lncRNA from 10 species
UACCUUGGUGUACUGGAAGAAUCGGAUCACACGUGGUCUUGGAGAAUGAGUUCAAAGUUUUAUUGACUGGAAGUAGCUCUCAGCAUACGGGGGAGCCAGAAGGGAGAUGGUUUUUUCCUUGGAGUCAGGCUGCUCCCUGGCCCGGGCUCUCCUCUGACUGUCCCAGCCAAACUCAGCCUCUCCUUCUGCUGGUCCGUGGCCUGCCCGCAUCCCAGGGCCUGCUGAUGUGCUUCUCUUAACAUCCAGCCACCUGUGUGUUCCUCCACCAAUUCGCUCCUCUCCACGUCCAGAUGUCUGGGUUUGCAGAUAGGCUCCUCUGCAGGUCCAGCAGCUUGUGUGCCUGCCUGCUAAGGUCUGAGGGCAGUUUAUAGGCACAGGAUGGGGGUGUGGCAGGCCGGGGUGAUAUUGGGCAAUGCAAUAUUUGGACAGGAAAUGCCUAUCCUCACCCAGGUCCGUGGGGGUGGAGCCCUAGCCAGGGACCACGCCCUCUUCUACCCAGCACUUCCCUUCCACACUUCGGUAUCAUUUGAGGGGACCACGCUCUUCACUCCCCUGCACUCCGUAUCAAUAAUUCCUGCUUCUGGCCAGGCGCGGUGGCUCACGCCUGUAAUCCCAGCACUUUGGGAGGCUGAGGUGGGCGGAUCACAAGGCAUGGCCCAUGUCCCUGGGAACAGUAGAGACUGAGGCCUGGGUCUCAGUGGCAUCAAUUAGAGCCUUUCCCUGGGACUGAUGUACGAGUGUCUCUUUCUGUUGGCAUCUUUAAAUGAGAAGAUAAAAAUCCAGGUUAUCAUUAGCCACAUUCACUGGUCAAGAAAAAGGCCUCUGCAGAACACAGCUGAGCAGAACCACACAGAAGUGGAAGAAGCAAAGAGGUUUCCAGAAGACUGAUGAAGAAGAGGUGCAACUUGGAAAAGAGAUCAGCAGCAAUCCAGCUGGAAAAUAGUGAUCAUCUGAGAGGAGAGUGGCCAUCUGGUUGAAUGAAGGGCAACAGGCGUGAAUAAAAUAAAAGAAGUAGGCUUGAUGGGUAACUGACCACCUGUGGGGAAUUAAGGAUGUUUAUCAGAGAGGAUGAAAUAUUGGGAUGGUUUUGUGGAGGGAGGGCAGUAGAGGGGUUCAAGCCAGGACAUUUGGGCAGAGAUGCCCUAUCUCUUGGCUUAUACUAGUGAGUUCACCUGGAUAAAACUUUUACUGUGAAGCGGUGACACUCUGCCCAUCCACCUUGUAAGUUCUUCUAUUAUAAGGCUGUAGAAAAAGACUCAAGUGGCUCUUUAAUUUGAUUCCUUGUGCAGGUUAGAUUUUUUUCCUAGAAUAACUUCAGUCUGCUAAUUUCACAUUAGUAUUACUUAAGGUCCUCAACAAUCAAAGAAAAGCUGCUUUCAGACUUCAAGUGCCCACAAGGCACUCCUUGGGAACAUGUACUACUAAUCCUGUGUGUUCCUUCUAAGCCGAACACUGACCUAUGAAGUCCCUCAAUCAAGUAUCUCUGCUCUUUUCCAUAGUGUCACUAUUACUGUCUUCACUUUUUUUCUUUCAUGUCACCCUUUCUCUCUCAGUUUACCUCUUUUCCCUGGGCAAAGAUGCUGCCAAAACUAUACAGCCAAACUGCCUCCCUAAUCAAGACUGGGAAUAAUAAUAGACCACUGCUCCAAUGGAGCAUCUCUUUCUUUUCAGGGCUGCAUGACACUUUGCACGGAGCUUCCUACCUCCAAGUGACAUUCUUACCUGCAGCUGAGUAAAUGAGUCCGCCUCCCAUACAGUUGUUUUAUAGGAUUUGCUAGGGAUUAAUUCUUUCUUUUCAGCUGUACCUUGUCAGAGACCACAAAUGAACAAAGAGGAACAUCAAGAAAUAGGAGAUAGGCUGCGUUUGGCUUUGUCUGGCAUUCACUCCUAUUCACCCGGCCAAGUUUCUUGAUGCUGUUGUGACGAGGCAUUGUUGUGGGUGGAAAGCUUGGAGCUAUAAUGCACGUGGCUGCCACACAGCUGGCGCUGUCGGCUUGAAGCUGGAAUGGAGUGAACCCGCCUGUUAAUUUGUACAUGAACACACACUAAUCUCUCAUUCACACCCUGGGUGGCUGGUUUGUUCUGCACACAGAUGAAUCUAAAAAGCUUUGGCCCUCUGGCAUUCCACAGAUGAGAUUCUCAUUAGGAACGGCAGUUCCCUCUCUGACCCAAUGGAAGAAGUAUCAUGGGCUCCAAUCCCAGCUUCUCAUUCUCUCCCUAUUUAAUACUACUAAUAAUAUUUAGCAUAUUUGAGUCCUUCCUACUACUACCAGAUCCAUGUAAAGAGCUUUACAGACAAUCGCCCACUCAGUCCCUACAAACAUCUGCUGGGGAGUCACUGCCUAACAGUGGGUGUGUUCCCCAUUUCUAAAAUUUCCCCAGACCAGUUGCCAUCUUCCUUCCUGGACACAAUAAUUGCUGCUCUAAUUUCCCUGCUCUCUAACCCUAUCUUUAGAUCCAUAUAUCAGUUCCUGCAUCCUCAGGGACCCCUGUCUUAAUGCUUUCUUCUUUAGCUCCAUCCCAGCACACUCUACCUAAUAUAGUUCCAUGGUCCACAGUUCCAUGGUCCAUGACCAUGGACAUUAUGGUGGCAAGAAUUUAUCCACCAACCAGGUCACCUCUAGUUUACAAUAAUAAUAAAAUUUAAAUGUAAUUUUAUACUUACCUCCAAACUCAUCCUUAUAUACAUUAAAUAUAUAUAUAGCCUACUGUAUGCCAACCAUACCUUAAUAAAGUAGUUUUAAAUAUAAAUUUAAUUCAACUUAUGUUAUUUUGAUUAUGAACAAAUUAAAUUGAAUUAAGUUUAAGUUUAAUUAUAAUUAAUGUAGUAUAAAAUAGAAAUAUGAUUUUUAAUAUAUUAAAUGUAAUUAUAAUUUUCACUCGUGUCCAUGUGAAGAGACCACCAAACAGGC